GUCGCGGUAGGCUGAACACUUCGAAUGGAGAGUUGACGAUCACGGGACUGACUCCAAAGGAAAACGGGUUUUACACAUUGGAAACAAAGGAGAUGGCGGGUCCGAAAAUUCAUCUCAUCGUCAUCUCCCCCGUCCCCAAACCCACCGUCAGCAAACAGUGUGACCCCGACAGGACCCUGUGCACCCUGAGCUGUGACGGAGACGUCGCGGACGCCGCACCCGUCACCUACAGGUGGAGUCCAGGAGACACGGCUGCAUCCAAGGAGCUACGCCUCGCCAAGGAGGACAGCUGGGAGGUGCAGGAGUUCCGCUGCGUGCUGCAGAAUCCGGUCAGUCAGGAGAGCAGCGAACCCGUGCCCAACCCUUUCUCCAAAGCACCCGUAAGAGGGCCGAACUUCUCGACGGGAGGCGUGGUGUUCGCCGCGCUGCUGGUCGCCGUGCUGCUGCUGGCCGCCGCUCACAGAUGCACAACGGGAAUGUGGUUCUUCCAAAAAACAUCCAUGCCAUGGGAGCCAAACUUCUGGAGGAAGAACGAGAGGCCAUCAACAGAUGGGUCCGUAUCCAAUGGCACGCCUGUUCAAGAGAGGGGGCAGUCGGACGGUAAGACACUAGAAACAAUACAUACGUUUACCGUACAUAUUUCUCCAUCUGCAGUCUGUGACUCUGCACUUUGUCAUGUGGCAGAGGAGACCCCGUUGUCAUAG
ensembl:lncRNA